AGCCUUCUGAGUUUGUGAUGAGACUUCGUCUGAUACCAGACCAUCAGCACUGAUGCGACUCUCAAGAUAAGCAAAGUU
rfam:Schistosoma mansoni strain Puerto Rico chromosome W, complete genome